UACGUAGGGUGCGAGCGUUGUCCGGAAUUAUUGGGCGUAAAGGGCUCGUAGGCGGUUUGUCGCGUCGGGAGUGAAAACCUCGGGCUUAACUCGGGGCUUGCUUUCGAUACGGGCAGACUGGAGGUAUGCAGGGGAGAUCGGAAUUCCUGGUGUAGCGGUGAAAUGCGCAGAUAUCAGGAGGAACACCGGUGGCGAAGGCGGUUCUCUGGGACGGUACUGACGCUGAGACGCGAAAGCGUGGGGAGCGAACAGG
rnacentral:rRNA from 1 species